rnacentral:snRNA from 1 species
AGCUUGGCGCAGUGGCAGUAUCGUAGCCAAUGAGAUUUAUCCGGGGCGCGAUUAUUGCUAAUUGAAAA